AUUGAACGCUGGCGGCAGGCCUAACACAUGCAAGUCGAGCGGAGCGGCGAACGGGUGAGUAACGCGUGAGUAACUGCCCCCCUCUCUGGGAUAACAGUUGGAAACGGCUGCUAAUACCGGCUAGUGGGGGAUGACUCGCGUCUUAUCAGCUUGUUGGUGGGGUAGGGGCCUACCAAGGCGACGACGGGUAGCCGGCCUGGGAGGGCGACCGGCCACAUUGGGCUGAGGGACGGCCCAGACUCCAACGGGAGGCAGCGGUGGGGAAUGUUGCACAAUGAGGGAAACCCUGUGGCAGCAACGCCGGGUGCGGGAUGACGGCCUGCGGGUUGUAAACCGCUUUCAUCCAUGACGCGGUAGUGGCAGAAGAAGCACCGGCUAACUACGUGCCAGCAGCCGCGGUAAUUC
rnacentral:rRNA from 1 species